AAGAGCUAAUUAACUGGACGUUACCCACAGAAGAAGCACCGGCUAACUCCGUGCCAGCAGCCGCGGUAAUACGGAGGGUGCGAGCGUUAAUCGGAAUUACUGGGCGUAAAGAGUGCGUAGGUGGUUAAUUAAGUUAUCUGUGAAAUCCCUGGGCUCAACCUGGGCAGGUCAGAUAAUACUGGUUAACUCGAGUAUGGGAGAGGGUAGUGGAAUUUCCGGUGUAGCGGUGAAAUGCGUAGAGAUCGGAAGGAACACCAGUGGCGAAGGCGGCUACCUGGCCUAAUACUGACACUGAGGCACGAAAGCGUGGGGAGCAAACAGGAUUAGAUACCCUGGUAGUCCACGCUGUAAACGAUGUCAACUAGCUGUUGGUUAUAUGAAUAUAAUUAGUGGCGCAGCAAACGCGAUAAGUUGACAUCGU
rnacentral:rRNA from 1 species